ACUGUUUUUUCAACUCUGUUCAUUAAUACCUUCUAUCUUUUAGCUACCCCGUUUCAUAUUUUCAAUAUUUAAUUUCUUUUCACUAGGAAAUAUUAUUUACCAUCCACCUUGCAACCCCAUUUCUUUUACAUCAUAGUAAAAAAAUCUCAAAUCUGGCACCCUCAUUAAUUUCCUUUUCCCCCCCUUAACUUGGCAUUGAACUUGGUGGACAUUGUUUAUAUGAGGGUUCUCAGAGAAAGAGAUGGCAUUCCUGAUCUUAGGCGAGCUGCUCGGUUUCGCUAUGCAAGUGUAACUCUACCAGAGGUUGAUGGCCCAGUAAGGAAGCUUUUAAAGGGUGGACGAGAUCUUGAUGACAUCUUAACUGCUGCAGUCAUUCCAAACCUUGAAAGCUGUACAGGUAUAGCUUUAUGUUUUAAGAGCUUUGAUAUAACUAUUGUUUAUGCAUGCCGUCAUUGUUUCGAGACAUUCAGAAAAAUGAGAAUUCUGAGUAGUGCAAGAAAGAAAGGAAAUUCUUUGGGGGGAGGGAUUUGGGCUUGGUUUAAUCAAUGUUGUGUGUUUUAGCAUCACUGGCCUCCGAGGACACAAUAAAUUGUUUUGGUAUUACCAUAUGUAGUAUAGUUGCUACAUCACAAUCUCCUGAGAGUUCCAUGUUUAAAUUCUGAAGCAGGAACAUUGUCUCAGAGAUUUUUUUGUUCUUAUACUAGUAGGACAGGUACCAGGUAAUAGUUAUGGAUGCUGAUGGUUCUCGUUCUAAAGGCAUCGCUAGAUCCUUGAGAAAGCUUGGGGUUAAGGCAAGUAUUUGGAAUCUCUAAUAUUUUUUUUAUUACACAAAAGCCUAAACAUCUAAUUGAUCAUGGAACUAGAAGGGCAAAAUGAAUUUAUCCACUCUCCCUUAGUCAAGUUUCUUUGGGAUAAAAAACAUUUCUGAGAGUUUUUCCGUAUCAGUAACCCUUAGAAACAAAUAACAAUAUCCAUAUUAACCAGAUUUGGGAAGAGCACGUUAAUGUCUUUUAUGCAUUUACAAUGUUGUUAAGUCAAAAACUGUUACUCCUUAUGCAUGUUUUUCUGUCGUAUAGAUGCUAUAGAUAGAACCUGAUUUUCAUUCUUGUUGUUCUCAAGUGGUAUAAUUUAGAAAGCGCAUUAGUAUUACAUCUAACUUAUGUCCUUAAAAUAUCUCUCUCUCUCUCUCUUGCUUGCCUGAAUGGGAAUUUGCAAUGUAUUGAUCAAUUUCAAUAUUCUUUUAUUUCACUCCAUAGAUUGCUGGGCUGUAUUGUUGUGUGAAUGGCUUGCAGAGAAACAAGUUAAAUGCACGAAUACUAGAUGAUACCAUGGUUCAUUCCCUAAUCAUAUAAUUUAGAUAGAGAAGAUAGUAGAAUGUUGCAGAAUUAAACCUUGUGACCUGCAUUAUAAGAAAAUUUGCACUGCCAGGUGAGUCUAUUGUUAAUCCGGAACCACAACCUAUUGUAUCAUAUUGCUAAUUGUUUGUUUGCAUUUUUAUGUGACAGAGACCAUACUUGGUCCAAGGUGCUUUCCAGUCUUGGGUAAAAUAAGGUAUCCAAGUCAAGGAGCUUAAACCUGAGACUCUGUAACCAUACUUAAUGAGUGAUAAUAAGUAAGGACCCAUGUCUGGCAUGAAUUUGUGGCUCGCACCAUCUCCAUGGUCUCAAGAAACCAGUCAAAAUGUGUUAGCUUUAUUGUUAUUGGAUUAGUCUACACUCUAACGGUGAAUUCAUCAAGCAAUGUCUCAUGGGGCAUCCAUUUUGAAAGGAAAAGGGAUUAGUUACAGAGCUUUUGGCAUUUCCCACUGUGCUAGCCUACCAACGACUCAACUGACACUGGAGAGGAGCGAGAGCAGUAGAAGAGGCUAGAGUUAAACCUGCGAACCACUCCCAAUUGGUAUAGAACCGCCUUUCCUGAUAUAACCAAUUUAUCAACAAAAGACUGCAAAAUUGAAGAGUUAAGCAACAAAAGCACUCCCCAUUCUGACGACCUUAUUUGUAUCAUGUACUCAAAUAUUUUCCAAGAAAAGGACCAAUGACAUGCGAAUUCAGAUUAUAGUUA